UAGGAAUCUGCCUAGUAGUGGGGGACAACCUGGUGAAAGCCAGGCUAAUACCGCAUACGACCUACGGGUGAAAGCAGGGGAUCUUCGGACCUUGCGCUAUUAGAUGAGCCUAUGUCUGAUUAGCUAGUUGGUGAGGUAAUGGCUCACCAAGGCCGCGAUCAGUAGCUGGUCUGAGAGGAUGAUCAGCCACACUGGGACUGAGACACGGCCCAG
rnacentral:rRNA from 1 species